rnacentral:ribozyme from 13 species
UUUUCUAUCUUUUUUUUCUUUUUCUUCUUUUGUUUCUUUUUGUUUAUUGUUCUUUGGCUAUCAAGGAUAAUCAGAAGAAAAAACAGGAG